rnacentral:rRNA from 1 species
UACCAGCACCCCGAGUGGUCGGGACGAUUAUUGGGCCUAAAGCAUCCGUAGCCGGUCCUGCAAGUCUUCCGUUAAAUCCAGCUGCUCAACAGAUGGGCUGCGGAGGAUACUACAGGGCUAGGAGGCGGGAGAGGCAAGCGGUACUUUAUGGGUAGGGGUAAGAUCCGUUGAUCCAUAGAAGACCACCAGUGGCGAAGGCGGCUUGCCAGAACGCGCUCGACGGUGAGGGAUGAAAGCUGGGGGAGCAGACCGG